CGGUCUUUUCUAUGGAAGCUUGCUUCCACUGAGAAGAUAGUGGCGAACGGGUGAGUAACACGUGGGUAACCUGCCCAUAAGAGGGGGAUAACAUCCGGAAACGGGUGCUAAUACCGCAUAGUUUUCUUGAUCGCAUGAUUGAGAAAGGAAAGACGGCCUUUGUGCUGUCGCUUAUGGAUGGACCCGCGGCGUAUUAGUUAGUUGGUGAGGUAACGGCUCACCAAGACGAUGAUACGUAGCCGACCUGAGAGGGUGAUCGGCCACAUUGGGACUGAGACACGGCCCAAACUCCUACGGGAGGCAGCAGUAGGGAAUCUUCCGCAAUGGACGAAAGUCUGACGGAGCAACGCCGCGUGAGUGAAGAAGGUUUUCGGAUCGUAAAACUCUGUUGUCAGAGAAGAACAAGUUGGAGAGUAACUGCUCCAGCCUUGACGGUAUCUGACCAGAAAGCCACGGCUAACUACGUGCCAGCAGCCGCGGUAAUACGUAGGUGGCAAGCGUUGUCCGGAUUUAUUGGGCGUAAAGCGAGCGCAGGCGGUUCCUUAAGUCUGAUGUGAAAGCCCACGGCUCAACCGUGGAAGGUCAUUGGAAACUGGGGAACUUGAGUGCAGAAGAGGAGAGUGGAAUUCCAUGUGUAGCGGUGAAAUGCGUAGAUAUAUGGAGGAACACCAGUGGCGAAGGCGACUCUCUGGUCUGUAACUGACGCUGAGGCUCGAAAGCGUGGGGAGCAAACAGGAUUAGAUACCCUGGUAGUCCACGCCGUAAACGAUGAGUGCUAAGUGUUGGAGGGUUUCCACCCUU
rnacentral:rRNA from 1 species